rnacentral:rRNA from 1 species
AAGGAUCAUUACCGAGUGCGGGUUCCAACGAGCCCAACCUCCCACCCGUGUUUACCAUGACCGCGUUGCCUCGGCGGGCCCACUGGGGCCUGGCCCCGGUCGCCGGGGGGCUCCCGCCCCCGGGUCCGCGCCCGCCGAAGCGCCCUGGAACCCUGUCUGAAUAGUGAGUCUGAGUGAAUGAUUCAAUCAUUAAAACUUUCAACAACGGAUCUCUUGGUUCCGGCAUCGAUGAAGAACGCAGCGAAAUGCGAUAAGUAAUGUGAAUUGCAGAAUUCCGUGAAUCAUCGAAUCUUUGAACGCACAUUGCGCCCCCUGGCAUUCCGGGGGGCAUGCCUGUCCGAGCGUCAUUUCUGCCCUCCAGCCCGGCUGGGUGUUGGGCGCUGUCCCCCCGGGGACACGCCCCAAAGGCAGUGGCGGCGCCGCGUCGGGUCCUCGAGCGUAUGGGGCUUUGUCACCCGCUCGGGACGGACUCGUCGGCGCUGGUCUUCCUCCAGGCGACCCUUCGGGGCCCGUCUUCCUUCGGUUGACCUCGGAUCAGGUAGGGUUACCCGCUGAACUUAA